rnacentral:lncRNA from 1 species
CCGGCUAGAGUCCCCUACCAACAGACCGGCUAGAGUCCCCUACCAACAGACCGGCUAGAGUCCCCUACCAACAGACCAGCUAGAGUCCCCUACCAACAGACCAGCUAGAGUCCCCUACCAACAGACCAGCUAGAGUCCCCUACCAACAGACCAGCUAGAGUCCCCUACCAACAGACCAGCUAGAGUCCCCUACCAACAGACCAGCUAGAGUCCUCUACCAACAGACCAGCUAGAGUCCUCUACCAACAGACCAGCUAGAGUCCCCUACCAACAGACCAGCUAGUCCCCUACCAACAGACCGGCUAGAGUCCCCUACCAACAGACCAGCUAGAGUCCCCUACCAACAGACCAGCUAGAGUGCCUUACCAACAGACCAGCUAGAGUCCCCUACCAACAGACCAGCUAGAGUCCCCUACCAACAGACCAGCUAGAGUCCCCUACCGACAGACCGGCUAGAUCCCCCUACCGACAGACCGGCUAGAGUCCCCUACCGACAGACCGGCUAGAGUCCCCUACCGACAGACCGGCUAGAGUCCCCUACCGACAGACCGGCUAGAGUCCCCUACCGACAGACCGGCUAGAGUCCCCUACCGACAGACCGGCUAGAGUCCCCUACCGACAGACCGGCUAGAGUCCCCUACCGACAGACCGGCUAGAGUCCUCUACCAACAGACCAGCUAGAGUCCCCUACCAACAGACCAGCUAGAGUCCCCUACCAACAGACCAGCUAGAGUCCCCUACCAACAGACCAGCUAGAGUCCCCUACCAACAGACCAGCUAGAGUCCCCUACCAACAGACCAGCUAGAGUCUCCUACCAACAGACCAGCUAGAUUCCCCUACCAACAGACCAGCUAGAGUCCCCUACCAACAGACCAGCUAGAGUCCCCUACCAACAGACCAGCUAGAGUCUCCUACCAACAGACCAGCUAGAGUCCCCUACCAACAGACCCAUUCAGGUCAGAACCACCAGAAUCCUGGUCCACAAACUCCCAGCUGGUCCUUUUCUAAUCACAUGGCAGAAAAACAUUCUGAAAUUAUCCUCCUGGAAGACAAAAAUGAGUUUUUGCUCUGCAGCUUUGUAGUUGAUCAAGAACGAGUAGGGUAACAAAAGACCCUUCUGUUGCG